UUUAGGGAUUGUCGCUCGUGAUAAGGUCGACGUGACAUAUGACACCUGGAAGGAAGUCCCUACUACUCAGAAGGAUUUGAUAUGGGAGGAUAUUCAGCCGCUCCAGGUUAUGUGGGAUGCUACCAUAUUCGGGGUGUUUAAUCAAAACUUCCCGUUGUAUAUAAAGUACGAAGAUCUCUCUGAAAUUGCACACGGUGGUCAAUGUCUCAGCAUAUCUGUUAUACAGUUGUGGAUUCUCCAUCUGACCGAGACAAGUGUGCGAGCGGGGAAUUCUGAUGUGUAUGGAUUCCUCGAGCCACAGUCCAUUCAGAGAUCUGGGCAAUCACAAUUUGAAUCUGAAAGUUACAUCAAGAGUUGGAUACAGAGU